GAAAAAUAUUUGCCCAUAUUAUGGCUGAAUUGUCGGGACUUGGAGCCAUCUACGUGUUUUUCCAUGGAACCUGGAUACACCCGAGAACAGACAGGGAAACUGUCCUUCAACACGGAAUUCCAAGACGUCAAAACAAAACGGCGGCUCACGGUCACAGCAACCCGAUUUCCCCUCGCAUCAUUUACUUUGUAGCUGUUGUCUUCAGAAAAGAUGUUUUGAUUGCUUCAGGUGUUGCGACUCACACUCAUUUAGAAAGCAACAUGGGGUCCUGGACCUCCUUUGCAGACUCCACUACUAUCAAUCUGGAGCCAAUUCCUCAGCCAGCACAUCCACACGGCCAACACAGCACGCUUCAAAUUGCACUGAGGAAGG
ensembl:lncRNA